CCUGCUCAGAUUGAACGCUGGCGGCAGGCCUAACACAUGCAAGUCGAGCGGAUGACGGGAGCUUGCUCCUUGAUUCAGCGGCGGACGGGUGAGUAAUGCCUAGGAAUCUGCCUGGUAGUGGGGGACAACGUUCCGAAAGGGGCGCUAAUACCGCAUACGUCGUACGGGAGAAAGUGGGGGAUCUUCGGACCUCACGCUAUCAGAUGAGCCUAGGUCGGAUUAGCUAGUUGGUGAGGUAAUGGCUCACCAAGGCGACGAUCCGUAACUGGUCUGAGAGGAUGAUCAGUCACACUGGAACUGAGACACGGUCCAGACUCCUACGGGAGGCAGCAGUGGGGAAUAUUGGACAAUGGGCGAAAGCCUGAUCCAGCCAUGCCGCGUGUGUGAAGAAGGUCUUCGGAUUGUAAAGCACUUUAAGUUGGGAGGAAGGGCAGUAAGUUAAUACCUUGCUGUUUUGACGUUACCGACAGAAUAAGCACCGGCUAACUCUGUGCCAGCAGCCGCGGUAAUACAGAGGGUGCAAGCGUUAAUCGGAAUUACUGGGCGUAAAGCGCGCGUAGGUGGUUCGUUAAGUUGGAUGUGAAAGCCCCGGGCUCAACCUGGGAACUGCAUCCAAAACUGGCGAGCUAGAGUAUGGUAGAGGGUGGUGGAAUUUCCUGUGUAGCGGUGAAAUGCGUAGAUAUAGGAAGGAACACCAGUGGCGAAGGCGACCACCUGGACUGAUACUGACACUGAGGUGCGAAAGCGUGGGGAGCAAACAGGAUUAGAUACCCUGGUAGUCCACGCCGUAAACGAUGUCAACUAGCCGUUGGAAUCCUUGAGAUUUUAGUGGCGCAGCUAACGCAUUA
rnacentral:rRNA from 1 species